rnacentral:rRNA from 1 species
UGGGGAAUAUUGCACAAUGGGCGGAAACCUGAUGCAGCGACGCCGCGUGGGGGAUGAAGGCCUUCGGGGUGUAAACUCCUCUCGACUUGGACGAAGCUUCUGUGACGUUACUUGUAUAUGAAGCACCGGCUAACCACGUGCCAGCAGCCGCGGUAAUACGUAGGGUGCGAGCGUUGUCCGGAAUUACUGGGCGUAAAGAGCUCGUAGGUGGUUUGUCGCGUCGUCUGUGAAUUUCCGGGGCUUAACUCCUGGCGUGCAGGCGAUACGGGCUGACUUGAGUGCUGUAGGGGAGACUGAAAUUCCGGGUGUAGCGGUAAAAUGCGCAGAUAUCAGGAGGAACACCGAUGGCGAAGGCAGGUCUCUGGGCAGUAACUGACGCUGAGGAGCGAAAGCAGGGGUAGCGAACAGG